rnacentral:lncRNA from 1 species
CUCAUAAAAUAACAAUAAUUUUAAACUCCAGAAUUGACCAGAAAAAUCAUAUAAUUGCUGAAAAUAAUCAACCUUUACUAGGCAAAAGAAAAAUCAUCAAUUGUCCCAUUUCUCUGUCCUUUCUUUGUUCUUUCUCUGCCGUCUCCCCACACAAAGCACACACGGACCCAUUUAUAUAUUAUAUAUUAUAUAUUAUAUAUAUUACAUAUAUACACCAACAUACAAUAUAUAUAUCUACCAUCUUUCUCCUCCUUCCACCAUUAAUCUUUCUUCCUCCAACCCCACCCCCACCCCUCAAUCCUAAAACCCCACAAUCCAAAACCCCAAAAUCACACACCAAGAUCGAAGUUUUGCUGAAAUUUCAAGAAAAUUAAGCAUAUACAUAUAUAUACCCACCCUUUUCCUUCAUCGUCCACCACUAAUCUUUCUUCCUCUCCCCCCCACCCCCACCUCACCCCUCAAACCUAAAACCCAACCACCCCAAAACCCCAAAAACACUCACCAAGAUCGAAUUUUUUGCUGAAUUUUCAAAAUUAAACAUAUAUACACAUAUAUACCAANNN